AGUGAACGCUGGCGGUAGGCCUAACACAUGCAGUCGGACGGCAGCACCGUAAGAGCUUGCUCUUACGGGUGGCGAGUGGCGGACGGGUGAGGAAUACAUCGGAAUCUACUUUUUCGUGGGGGAUAACGUAGGGAAACUUACGCUAAUACCGCAUACGACCUACGGGUGAAAGCAGGGGAUCUUCGGACCUUGCGCGAUUGAAUGAGCCGAUGUCGGAUUAGCUAGUUGGCGGGGUAAAGGCCCACCAAGGCGACGAUCCGUAGCUGGUCUGAGAGGAUGAUCAGCCACACUGGAACUGAGACACGGUCCAGACUCCUACGGGAGGCAGCAGUGGGGAAUAUUGGACAAUGGGCGCAAGCCUGAUCCAGCCAUACCGCGUGGGUGAAGAAGGCCUUCGGGUUGUAAAGCCCUUUUGUUGGGAAAGAAAAGCAGCAGGUUAAUACCCCGCUGUUCUGACGGUACCCAAAGAAUAAGCACCGGCUAACUUCGUG
rnacentral:rRNA from 1 species